rnacentral:rRNA from 1 species
UACGAAGGGUGCAAGCGUUACUCGGAAUUACUGGGCGUAAAGGGUGCGUAGGUGGUUUGUUAAGUCUGCUGUGAAAUCCCCGGGCUCAACCUGGGAAUGGCAGUGGAUACUGGCAAGCUAGAGUGCGGUAGAGGGUAGUGGAAUUCCCGGUGUAGCAGUGAAAUGCGUAGAGGUCGGGAGGAACACCAGUGGCGAAGGCGGCUACCUGGACCAGCACUGACACUGAAGCACGAAAGCGUGGGGAGCAAACAGG